rnacentral:rRNA from 1 species
CGCAGCCGCGGUAAUUCCAGCUCCAAUAGCGUAUAUUAAAGUUGUUGCAGUUAAAAAGCUCGUAGUUGAAUUUCGGGGUUCUUCCGUUGGUCAGGCUAACAAGUCUGUACUAGCGUGUAGAAUCUCUACCUUCUGGGGAACCAUCAUGUUAUUAAUUUAGCGUGGUGGGAAACCAGGACCUUUACCUUGAAAAAAUUAGAGUGUUCAAAGCAGGCUUACGUCUGAAUACAUUAGCAUGGAAUAAUAAAAUAGGACGGUGGUCCUGUUUUGUUGGUUUCUGAAUCACCGUAAUGAUUAAUAGGGAUAGUUGGGGGCAUUAGUAUUCAAUUGUCAGAGGUGAAAUUCUUGGAUUUAUUGAAGACUAACUUCUGCGAAAGCAUUUGCCAAGGAUGUUUUCAUUAAUCAAGAACGAAAGUUAGGGGAUCGAAGACGAUCAGAUACCGUCGUAGUCUUAACCAUAAACUAUGCCGACUAGGGAUCGGACGAUGUUAAAUUUUAUUGACUCG